CCUACGGGAUGCUGCAGUAGGGAAUAUUGGGCAAUGGAGGAAACUCUGACCCAGCCAUGCCGCGUGCAGGAUGACGGCCUCUGGGUUGUAAACUGCUUUUAUACGGGAAGCGGUACCGUAAGAAUAAGGAUCGGCUAACUCCGUGCCAGCAGCCGCGGUAAUACGGAGGAUCCAAGCGUUGUCCGGAUUUAUUGGGUUUAAAGGGUGCGUAGGCGGAUCUUUAAGUCAGUGGUGAAAGCCUGCAGCUUAACUGUAGAACAGCCAUUGAAACUGAAGAUCUUGAAUGUGGUUAAAGUAGGCGGAAUGUAUCAUGUAGCGGUGAAAUGCUUAGAUAUGAUACAGAACACCGAUAGCGAAGGCAGCUUGCUGAACCAUAUUGACGCUGAGGCACGAAAGCGUGGGGAGCGAACAGGAUUAGAUACCCUGGUAGUC
rnacentral:rRNA from 1 species